rnacentral:rRNA from 3 species
GCAUAUCAAUAAGCGGAGGAAAAGAAACCAACCGGGAUUGCCUCAGUAACGGCGAGUGAAGCGGCAAGAGCUCAAAUUUGAAAGCUGGCUCCUUCGGAGUCCGCAUUGUAAUUUGCAGAGGAUGCUUUGGGUGCGGCCCCCGUCUAAGUGCCCUGGAACGGGCCGUCAGAGAGGGUGAGAAUCCCGUCUUGGGCGGGGUGUCCGUGCCCGUGUAAAGCUCCUUCGACGAGUCGAGUUGUUUGGGAAUGCAGCUCUAAAUGGGUGGUAAAUUUCAUCUAAAGCUAAAUACUGGCCGGAGACCGAUAGCGCACAAGUAGAGUGAUCGAAAGAUGAAAAGCACUUUGAAAAGAGAGUUAAACAGCACGUGAAAUUGUUGAAAGGGAAGCGCUUGCGACCAGACUCGCCCGCGGGGUUCAGCCGGCAUUCGUGCCGGUGUACUUCCCCGUGGGCGGGCCAGCGUCGGUUUGGGCGGCCGGUCAAAGGCCCCUGGAAUGUAGUACCCUCCGGGGUACCUUAUAGCCAGGGGUGCAAUGCGGCCAGCCUGGACCGAGGAACGCGCUUCGGCACGGACGCUGGCAUAAUGGUCGUAAACGACCCGUCUUGAAACACGGACCAAGGAGUCUAACAUCUACGCGAGUGUUCGGGUGUCAAACCCGUGCGCGCAGUGAAAGCGAACGGAGGUGGGAGCCCCCUCGCGGGGCGCACCAUCGACCGAUCCUGAUGUCUUCGGAUGGAUUUGAGUAAGAGCGUAAAUGUGGGGACCCGAAAGAUGGUGAACUAUGCCUGAAUAGGGCGAAGCCAGAGGAAACUCUGGUGGAGGCUCGCAGCGGUUCUGACGUGCAAAUCGAUCGUCAAAUUUGGGUAUAGGGGCGAAAGACUAAUCGAACCAUCUAGUAGCUGGUUCCUGCGA